rnacentral:misc_RNA from 1 species
GAUGAAGAACGUAGCGAAAUGCGAUAAGUAAUGUGAAUUGCAGAAUUCAGUGAAUCAUCGAAUCUUUGAACGCACAUUGCGCCCGCCAGUAUUCUGGCGGGCAUGCCUGUUCGAGCGUCAUUACAACCCUCAGGCCCCCGGGCCUGGCGUUGGGGAUCGGCGGAGCCCCCCGUGGGCACACGCCGUCCCCCAAAUACAGUGGCGGUCCCGCCGCAGCUUCCAUCGCGUAGUAGCUAACACCUCGCGACUGGAGAGCGGCGCGGCCACGCCGUAAAACACCCAACUCUUCUGAAGUUGACCUCGAAUCAGGUAGGAAUACCCGCUGAAAUUAAGCAUAUCAAUAAGCGGAGGA